UGCAACACAGGUUUGUCCUAAUGCCAUGC
rnacentral:piRNA from 1 species